CUCUUAGUAUUGGGGUUGAACUUCUUCUUCUUGUUUGGAGGUGCAAUAAUCAUCUAUCGUUAUACACACAUACUGAUGAUGAUGGUGAUGAUGAUUAUCAAAUCCCUUUAUCCUCGUUUAUCCCAAAUCAAGUUUGAAUUUGCUGAUUUCAGAGAUCUCAAAUCCCAAAUCGCGCCAACCACUUUAUUAGGCUGCAAGAAUACCCACCUUCUCUUGAUUCAACUUUAGAAUUGCAUCCAGGAUUAAAGUUAGGCAAGUGGUGAAAAAUGCUGAUAUUUGGAUUUCAAGCUUAUCUAUGCUUGUAAUUGAGCAGGUAAGAGUGAGAGGAAGGGUACCAGAGAAUCUAGGUUGCCUACCAAGGUUAUCUGAAUUAGGAGGAUGUGUAUACUCAGGAGGUUUCUCUGCAAGUACAUGGAGGCAAAAAAGAUUGACAAGCACGUGUACCAUGAUAUGUACUUGAGGCAUGUGUUCAAGAACAAGCGUGUAUUGAUGGAAAGUAUUCACAAACCUAAGGCAGAGAAGGCCAUAGAGAAGACUUUGUCUGACCAGUCUAAGAAAAGGCUGGCAGAGGAAGGAAGCAUGCUGGGUGGGAGGAGCGUUUGAAUGCGCUGGUUAGUAAGUAUUAAGGCCUUUUCUGUUUGAAAAGGUCCAUCUGGUUUCGGAUACUCAAACGCAACUGAAGAUAUAACUCAUGGGAUUGUUGGAACUGGACUUACUGCAAUUGUUACUGGUAACUAGUACUGAAUUCUUUGUAUGGGUUUUCUUAUUUCAUGUUUUUCUUUACUGGGUUCAUUUUUUAUUUUUCAUAAAGACAUUAAAGAUUUUGUUAGUUCUGGUAAUGGUGUUUGAUGAAAUGGGUGAGAGAAAUAAGUAUAUGGCUUGUUUCAGGGAGAUCUUGGGUGCUUCAAGUGGUAUUGGUUCUGAGAUUGCGCGUGUUCUUGCUAUGCUUGGAGUUCGUGUAGUCAUGGGAGUGUGGAAUAUAGCUGCAGGUAAAGAUGUUAAGGAAACAAUAUCAAAGGAAAACUCUUCGGAUAAAUUUGAUGUUACGGAGCUAUAUCUUAGCUCCAUGGCGUCGGUGAGACAAUUUGCUUCCAAAUUCGAGUCGGUAGAUCUCCCCCUAAACUUGCUUAUUAAUAAUGUAGGAGUCAUGGCAUGUCCCUUCAUGCUUUCCCAUGACAAUAUAGAGAUGCAGUUUGCGAAAAACCAUCUAGGUUUGCAACAUGAUUCUUUUCAGGAAGUAAUAAUGAGGGAGUCAAGGAUGGCGUAGAGACAUUGGCAAUCAUGAUAAUACUUUUUGGCUUUAAUAUGUAUGUCUAUAACGCUUUCAUUUGUCAAGGUAAACAUUCUUAUUUAAGUCUUAUUUACUCUGUGCUUUUCCUCUCUCUCUCUAGAAAGCAUCAACCAGCAGCACAACAAUGGUAUCCCAUAAUGUCGGCUAUGUUGAAAAGGGUCAAAUUCCAACCAAGAUUGGGUUGUUUGGCAAGAUCCAGAGAUACUGACCUUUUCGAUGAUACUCCGUAAUACAGGAUACUUCAAUUGAACUAGGAAGUUUAGUUGUUUGUCAAUCUCAUGUUUUUGUUUGUAAAGUUUUGAAACAAUGUCUCCAUGUUGAUUUAGCCUUGUAGCCAUGGAGUUUGAGUUUAAUUUGAAGGAAGCGACGAGUGACGAUACCAAUCACUUAUUCACUGGUAAGUCAUACUCAUCAUCACAACUACAUGCCACUACUGGGUCAUAAGAUUAGUGAUGCGGUUAAGUGCACGAUAGAUGCAGCUAAGAUGCUCCCAUCUACAAUCUUAUUCUAAUUCAGUGUUGAGUGCUUUGGUAUUCUGACUUCAUAGUUGCUAUGGUAUUAUGUAAUUGUUUUCACAUUUGGAAAUUCAGUGAUAGUAGUUUGUUGAAUUUGUAAAAUUAAGACGGUUAAUAACGUUCACUCAAUUUAAGUUUUUUUGAU